rnacentral:rRNA from 1 species
CCUACGGGAGGCAGCAGUAGGGAAUAUUGCUCAAUGGGGGAAACCCUGAAGCAGCAACGUCGCGUGGAGGAUGCAGGUCCUCCGAUUUUUAACUCCUUUUUUUAGAGGAGUUAAUGACGUUAUCUAUCGAAUAUUCACAGUCUAACUUCGUGCCAGCAGCCCUGGUUACACGGAGGGUGCAAGCUUUACCCGGAAUCACUGGGCGUAAAGGGCGCGUAGUCGGGAUAGCAAGUCAGAUGUGAAAUCCUAUGGCUUAACCAUAGAACUGCAUUUUAAACUGUUCUUCUAGAGUAUGGGGAAGGUAGGUGGAAUUCUUGGUGUAGGGGUAAAAUCCGUAGAGAUCACGAAGAAUACUGAUUGCGAAGGCAGCCUGCUAGAACAUAACUGACGCUGAUGCGCGAAAGCGUGGGGAGCAAACAGGAUUAGAUACCCGUGUAGUC